UUUGACUUUUGAAUCUAAAAUCUCAAAAUUAUAGCCCGAGAAAGGGUGCUCGUAUUCUCUGUGACGACAUUUGUUUUGAUCAAGGAAUGUGUCCACGGAUUGGAGCUUUCCUCGCAUUUUAAAUUAUUUCUCUAAAUCCGUAAAAAAAGUGGACUUUUAUAAGGCCGAUGAAUGCUCAACGGAGCGAUGCUAGUGCCACGACUAUGAAUCGAAAGAUAUAUACCCGUGGGUGGUUUCAAUGGCUGCCAAUGUCUCUCUACCUGUGAAUAUUACAACUGUAAAUUUCCAUGGCUGUAUUUACGCCUUGGGUGGUUGCGAUGGUGCAUCGAGUUUGACAAGUGGAGAGAAAUACGAUCCAGACAUUGAACAGUGGACUCUGAUUCCUGACAUGCCAAACCCCAGGAGCAAUUUCGCCGUUGAGGUUUAUAAAAGCGUCAAAUGGCCGAGUAAAGAUUUAUUAUAUCUAGAAUGUUGGUGAGGAUGUAAGAGAAACGGAAAAAGUGAUCGACGAUAUGAUUUUUGUCAUCGGCGGUUUCAAUGGGCUGACAGCCACCUUCCAAGUAGAAUGUUUCGACGAGAGCAAGAACCUGUGGUAUGAUGCCACAGGUAUGAUUGCUCCUCGAUCCGCUUUGGCAGCCUGCGUGAUUCCUGGACUACCUAAUGUGGAUGCUUACAUCUACCAUAAUAGGAAAAAUUUAAUGGAAGAGAAAAGACGGAACCUUAUCCAACAAGAAAGAAUGGAAUUAGGCUGAAUUAUUAAAGAGGCAUCAUACAAUUAAAGAUGGAAAACUUAAUGUUUCCGAAAUGGAGUAUCUAUUUCAUGAGCAUAUGAAUGCAGAUACAUUACAAAUGAUGAAGAUCCAAACUAAAGAUAGUACUCAGACAAGAAGCUUUCACAUCUGUCGAUUAAAGGAUUUUCCGACGUAUUUAUAAGGAAGGGACAUUAACAUCAG